AUCAACGCUGGCGGCGUGCCUCAGACAUGCAAGUCGAACGAUUAAAGCCCCCUUCGGGGGGUGCAUAGAGUGGCGCACGGGUGAGUAACACGUAAGUAAUCUACCUUUGAGUGGGGAAUAACAGUCGGAAACGACUGCUAAUACCGCAUAAUGCAGCGGCACCGCAAGGUGACAGUUGUUAAAGGAGCAAUUCGCUUGAAGAGGAGCUUGCGGCAGAUUAGCUUGUUGGUAAGGUAACGGCUUACCAAGGCUACGAUCUGUAACCGGUCUUAGAGGACGGUCGGUCACACUGACACUGAAUAACGGGUCAGACUCCUACGGGAGGCAGCAGUCGGGAAUUUUGGGCAAUGGGCGAAAGCCUGACCCAGCAACGCCGCGUGAAGGAUGAAGUAUUUCGGUAUGUAAACUUCGAAAGAAUAGGAAGAAUAAAUGACGGUACUAUUUAUAAGCUCCGGCUAACUACGUGCCAGCAGCCGCGGUAAUACGUAGGGAGCAAGCGUUGUUCGGAUUUACUGGGCGUAAAGGGCGCGUAGGCGGCGCUGUAAGUCACUUGUGAAAUCUCCGGGCUUAACUCGGAACGGUCAAGUGAUACUGCAGUGCUAGAGUGCAGAAAGGGCAAUCGGAAUUCUUGGUGUAGCGGUGAAAUGCGUAGAUAUCAAGAGGAACACCUGAGGCGAGGGCGGGUUGCUAGGCUGACACUGACGCUGACAGCGCGAAAGCCAGGGGAGCAAACGGGAUUAGAUACCCCGGUAGUCCUGGCCCUUAAACGAUGAAUACUUGGUGUCUGGAGUCUUAAUGCUCCGGGUGCCGUCGCUAACGUUUUUAGUAUUCCGCCUGGGGAGUACGCUCGCAAGAGUGAAACUCAAAGGAAUUGACGGGGACCCGCACAAGCGGUGGAGCAUGUGGUUUAAUUCGACGCAACGCGAAGAACCUUACCUGGACUAGAAUGUGAGGGAAGGGCUUCUAAUAGAGUCCGUCUGGGAAACCAGACCCAAAACAAGGUGCUGCAUGGCUGUCGUCAGCUCGUGUCGUGAGAUGUUGGGUUAAGUCCCGCAACGAGCGCAACCCCUUCCUUGAAGUUGCCACCAUAUUAAGCUUAGGCACUCUGUAAAGGACUGCCGUUGAAAAACCGGAGGAAGGUGGGGAUGACUGUCAAGUCCUCAUGGCCUUUAUGUCCAGGGCUACACACGUAGCUACAAUGGCGGCUACAAAUGAGUUCGCAAAUCUCGCAAGAGGGGAGCCUAAUCGCAAAAAACCGGCUCUCAGUUCGGAUUGGCAGUCUGCAACUCGACUGCAUGAAGCUGGAAUCGCUAGUAAUCGCGGAUCAGCAAGCAGCGGUGAAUACGUUCCCGGGUCUUGUACACACCGCCCGUCACAUCACGAAAGUCCGGUUGUACUAGAAGUCCGGUGAGUCCAACUCGCAAGGAGAGAGCCGGUACCAAGGUAUGACUGUAUGAUUGGGGUG
rnacentral:rRNA from 1 species